rnacentral:lncRNA from 10 species
CCCCACACCUAUUUUUGGCACACAAACAAACUUGUUCUUAUUUCAUAUGAGAUGUAAUUGCAAGAGGCAAGUGUAUUUGUGUUUUUCCUUAAAGUUUUUGAAUGCUACAUCACUUCCAUAUCUGUCCUCAUCAGUACCAGUUUAAUAUAAUUGAACUGCUUAAUAUUCCAUGUACUAUUCUAAGAGAUCCUUAACAAAAGUGGUCGCUUUUUUAUUCAGAUCUUCAAAGAAAGAGAUAUCCUUUCGAGGCAACACAAGAAGCCAACUACAAAUGAGAAUAUUAUUCUCUUGGUGCAGGGAUUGUUGCAUGUGGACCCCAUCAGCCUUGAAAAGUCCAUGCAAUGGAGUGAAACUUGACAAAGCAGUUGCAGUCGUUCACCAGUGAAGCAAAGUCUUCUUCCUAGUCACGCAGGAAUUUUUUUGGGGGAGAUAACUUGAUGCCUGGAGCUGCUGCUGCAUCUUAUGUAAAUGACAACUAAGGAUAAAAACCACACACAUUACCCAAGGUGCAGUAAAAGAAGAUAUUUUGGGAGGAAGAGAGAAAGCAAGAGAGAGAAACCACAUUUUCAUAACUUUUGUUACAGUAUAUUGUUAUAAUUGGUCUAUUUUUAUUAUUAUUGUUGUUCAUAUUUUACUUUAAUUUAUAAAUUAAACUUCAUUAUAGGUAUGUACAGGAAAAAAUAUGGUAUUAUAUAUGAUUUGGUACUAUCCUUGGUUUCAGGCAUCCACUGAGGGUCUUGGAACAUAUCACCUUGGAUAGGGGAGACUACUGACUUCCUUACUGCUCUAUGUGACAAAUGAAGUUUGGUCUUAUUUGCAGCCAGGAAAAUUUUAUUAUCAAGACUUUAAUAUUAAUACAGAAAUAGGAACUUCCAGGGAUAGACAAAAAUGAAGAGAGCAUCUGUUCCAGCUUCUUUAUUUUAAAGAUUUGAGGCUCAGAGAGGAGAUAUACUUCUUCAAAAUCAACAGCCUAUUAGUUCACAACUGCGAUUACAAUUUCGUCUCCUGGCUCUGGGUUUAAUAAUAUUCCCCCACAUCAUAAAACCUUGGAACUAUCGAAAUGAUAGCUUUGAGGGGAAAAAUAGGCAAAGAAGUAAUAUGUUAAACUUUCCCUGGGAUGCAGGCUUUAAUCAGGUUUCAAAUUCUUCCAACAUAAUAUAAUUUAAUGGUGAGAGCUCUUGACAUUAAGAGGUGAAAUUUAUAUUUAAAAGGCUAAGAUCGUGACAUAUUAAAGCACUUCAAAAAUGUUGGCAACAAAUACCAAGAGUAACUGAUGGUUGUUAUUAUACAAGAACAAAGAAGUUCAUCCUCUGGAAUUAAAGGUGUGUUAGUGUCAUUGUUGCUCAUGGGGAGGAGUAGGCACCUGACUUUCUUUUUUUCCUUACGACAGCUUUAUCCAAAUAAAGCACGGUGUGUUUCAUCACCCAUAAUGGAAAGUGCCUGUCACUCCUUGAACAACAUCAUAUGGUUGGUGGCCGGUGGAUAAUGGACCACUGAGUGUCAAGGUGACUGGCUUUCAAUGCACACAAAACUAAAAAUUAUAGACCUGUCAUUCCACAGGCAGGCCACAAUUAGCUGUCUAUGCAACUUGAAAUUUCCAUUUUGCCAGCUGAGUAAUCAUUUGACUAGAGUUUUUCAUUUGGAAGCAUUUCUAAGCCUUUUGUGUGCAAGUCUUUUAAAAUGUGGAUCCUGAAGUAAAUAAACAGUGCACUUAAUCAGAUGUAUUCUUUUUAGAAACACCCCUUCGGAAACACACAGGCAAACCCCAACAUUGUUGUAAUAGUAACAACAAUAAUGUGACAAAACAAUAUAAGCCUUGGGUAUUUUAUUUAGGGAUCUUAAAAGUUCACAGCGAAAGGUAAGAAUCAUUUCUUAAUACCUCAGAGUGCAGAAUUUAGAAAAAGAAACUGAGAUUUUAGCAGUCAGUAACUAGAUAAGGUCACCAAAGGAGAAGUAAACUCAGAGCUAGGGGUCAAAACUUGGGAAUUUCAGUGUCAGAAACAUUCACUGAUUCAAAACUAUCCAUUUACCAGUUUUCUAUUUACAUUUGGUUUCCAACUCCAUAUCUGAGUUCUGUCAUUUCUCUGAUUCUUUGAGGGAUAGAGAAAAUGAUACCAAGUGGAGUCUGUUGGAAAAUUGUGUUGUAAUUUCCAUUCAGUUGCUGUACGUGAAGUAAACUUCAGGAUUCUACAAUCCCAGAUCAGAUUCUAGACUGUCUAAUUGAACCUGAAUCUUCUUUUACCCUCUUCCUGCCCUGUCCCUGGUCCACAUUACUCUCUCUCCUUCUCCCUCGGAUGAUUUAUAUCUACACUUAAAUUGCCGAGCCACAAGGAUACAAGUGAAGUUGACAAUCAAUAUGAAUUAAGGAAAAAAUCAGAAGUCUGAGAUCAGAAGUGUUUGAGUGAAAUUCUCCCUACAAGUCUUGGCAACCUCAUGAUUUUGUUUAAUUUUCCAACAUGUUUUGGAUUAUUGGAAAGAGUUACAUGGGAUAAAAAGGAUUUGCCUGGCAGAGUAAAAGAACUGAAUUUGGAUUGUACUGAAGUAGGUCCUAACUAGGCUGUUGAUGGUGAAAUAUUGACGAUUCUAUUGUUUUGAAUGAAUGAGUGUCAUAUUUUACUGGGAAUUGAUUUCUGAACUUCAGUCAAGGAGUGACUGAAUUUGCAAUUAGAGUCACUCUGUUUUGUAACUCAGAUUAUGCAAGGAUCAUUCUGAAACAGCAACCAAGAUAUAAGCCCUUGUUGCAUGGCUUUUCUUUAAUUUCUAAUUUUGUGUGUCUGUGUUCAGUUUUUAAAGGACCAAAAAGUUUUUUUUCCCCCAUCUCUCUAGAAAAAAAAGGAACAUACCCUAGGAUUACAAGGGGCUUGAUUAUCUGUUUUAUAAGAAUCUUAACCCAGGAAUUGGUUAAUAUUCUUUCUCCCAUUUAGAAAAAUAGUAGGCUUUGUCGUUGAUUCCUAAUGAUUAGCACAAAAAGGGAAAGGCUUUUUAAAACCAAGAUAAAAUCACUUUAAUUCCAAAAGUGUCCAUUUAAGAAAUAUAAACUGUGAAGAUAAGCAAUGGCUAUUUUCUCUAAAGGAAAGUAUUUUCAAAUGAACAGAACAGGCAAAUGUAGACUUAAUUAGGUGGAGUCAGAUGGGUAUUAAUUAUUCACCUUUCCAGGGUGAGAAUAAUAGCAUUGUUGCUAAAGAAAUGAAAUAAGGCAUGACACUUCUUUCUUCUUCAUUCUGUGAAAGCUGCUCUGAUCUGAACAGGUUAAAGAUGGGAUAACAGGAGGACAGACUGAAAAUUUGCUCUUCCCUUCACAAUUGAGGGUAGAUAGUCUUUCGAGAGUGUAGUAUCCUCCAUUGAAAUAAAAUGUUAUUGACUACCUGCUUGGAGACAUAAAAACCUUCUCAUGUUUGGAAUGUACAUGUACUUCUCUGUUUUGCUCUCUUGAACAUUUUCAAAAUAGCUAAAUAAAAUUUGUCCUCAUUCUUAGAGUUCUGUAUAUUCUAGACUUGAAAAUAGUGGCCAACAGUGAGUAGUAAUUCACACUGAUGAUAAUCACACCAGACUAGGUUU